rnacentral:tRNA from 1 species
GCAUAGAAUGGCCGAGAGGUCUAAGGCGCCAGUCUUAAGAACUGGUCCUCGUGAGAGGGCGUGGGUUCAAAACCCACUUCUGACA